rnacentral:rRNA from 1 species
CUACGGGUCGCACCAGUGGGGAAUAUUGCACAAUGGGCGCAAGCCUGAUGCAGCCAUGCCGCGUGUAUGAAGAAGGCCUUCGGGUUGUAAAGUACUUUCAGCGGGGAGGAAGGGAGUAAAGUUAAUACCUUUGCUCAUUGACGUUACCCGCAGAAGAAGCACCGGCUAAUUCCGUGCCAGCAGCCGCGGUAAUACGGAGGGUGCAAGCGUUAAUCGGAAUUACUGGGCGUAAAGCGCACGCAGGCGGUUUGUUAAGUCAGAUGUGAAAUCCCCGGGCUCAACCUGGGAACUGCAUCUGAUACUGGCAAGCUUGAGUCUCGUAGAGGGGGGUAGAAUUCCAGGUGUAGCGGUGAAAUGCGUAGAGAUCUGGAGGAAUACCGGUGGCGAAGGCGGCCCCCUGGACGAAGACUGACGCCCAGGUGCGAAAGCGUGGGGAGCAAACAGGAUUAGAUACCCGGGUAGUC